AUGGCCGCCCCUGUUCUGCCGCCUGCAAAGAGGAAGAAGGAGGGUCCGCCUCGUCUGGAAACCUCGCCGCUCCUUCCGGUCGCAGCCGCAGGCUGGUCCGCGCUCCCGCCCGACCUCGUCCGCCACGUCGCGGACUCCCUCCUGGCCACUAACGACCUCGACUUCUACAUGGACUUCCGCGCAGUCUGCUCCGGUUGGCGCGCCGCCACCGAUGACCCCAGGAGCGACGCCACCGACCCCCGCUUCCGCCCGCGCCGCUGGAUCGUCCUCGACGAGGUCUUCCAGAGCCAAGGAAAGAUGCUCCUGUUGAACACCGACUCCGGCCGCUUUCUCCACAGAGAACUCCCGCUGCUCAACGACCACCACGUCGUGGCAACCACUCGCAAUGGCUACCUGGUCCUGGCGGACAAAAGCCCUCCUCACGCGGUCAACGUCCUCAACCCUCUCACCCGCGUUGUCAUCCGUUUCGUGGCGCCGGUGCCCCCCAAGGUGGGAUCCGCCGCUGUCGUCUUCUUUGACGACUCUUCUCCCACGCUCACCUUGUUCUGCGAUUCAUCUCACAAUGUUUACACGGCUGACCUCAGCGAUAUUGGUUUUGACGUCCUAGAGGGUCCCGGACCGGAAGCAGAGUAUGAUUUCUUCCGUAAGACGGUCCUGGCUGGUGUUUACGCAGACAUAGAGCCGGCAUUUCAUGGUGUGCUUGAUGAUUUAUGCAGUUUGCUCAUGUCUGGUGAUGUUGCCAAGUUUUUCCCCGGCGGUCUUCCAGAUGCAACCGACCUCAAAUGGUUUCCAGUGGGUUUGGGUAAACAUAUGCUGCUUGUUGUGAAUGCAGAGGGAUCGAUCUUUGUUUUAAAAAAGAACAUUCAGAUAGGUAAGCUUGUGGCUUUGGACAGCAUCAGCAACUAUGCCAUCUUCAUGGGUCUUCAGAGGUGCCUGGCUGUCGAUGCUGAGAAGUUCCCAGGCAUCGAGGCAAACUGUGUCUACUACAUUGAAAAUCUGGGUUCGUCAGCUCACAUCUGCAAGUGCAACAUCAAGAACAGGAAAGUAGAGAGGAUCUCUGAAGCUGCCGAUUUCGUGAAGCACGGCAAGCAGUUUGUCCUGGUUGCUGACCGUCCUUUGACGAUCAUCCACCUUCUCUCCAGCUACACCAUCAACAUCCCUGAUUCUCAAAUGGCCUUACAACAGAUUCCAUAA
rnacentral:rRNA from 1 species